rnacentral:misc_RNA from 1 species
UACGUAGGUGGCAAGCGUUGUCCGGAAUUAUUGGGCGUAAAGCGCGCGCAGGCGGUCCCUUAAGUCUGGUGUGAAAGCCCACGGCUCAACCGUGGAGGGGCAUUUGAAACUGGGAGGCUUGAGUACAGGAGAGGAGACUGGAAUUCCACGUGUAGCGGUGAAAUGCGUAGAUAUGUGGAGGAACACCAGUGGCGAAGGCGACUCUCUGGUCUGUAACUGACGCUGAGGCGCGAAAGCGUGGGGAGCAAACAGG